rnacentral:lncRNA from 1 species
ACAGAAGCCUCAUGCAUCUUGACCAGGACGGUGGAUGCAUGGCUUACAUUGGUCACAACUUGUCAACUUGUAUGACUGAAAACUGAACAUCACAUUGAAUUGGACUCAAAGGCAAGACCUGAGGCAAAAUUCAUGUAAGGAGGGAGUUUGGGCGAAGCUUGAGGACUGCUGCCCGGAAGCGUAGAUUCAAGUUGCCCUGAAUACACCUCCUAUUAGCAGCUGUUACAGGUUCAGAAAAAGGAUGGAGGUAGAAAGUCCUCUCUCCCAAACACUAUGAUUGACACUGCAGAGUUCUGCAACUCUCGUACGAGGGAGAUUUCAUGAUGAUCUCAGUAACCGAUCAGAGAAUCAACGACUGACUUCGCUGAGGCACGGUGAUGAAAAGGUCAAGGUGGUCUGGUCUGAGUGAAGUCACAGCAAGAACCCUUGUCCAGGGCCAUUCUCACCUUUGGGGACAGCUCCUUCCCUGUAUGGUCCUCAUGUCACUGCACUUUCCUGCCUUGUUUCUUGCUGAAGCCAUUAUUUCUUAAUUCCUUAGUAGAUAUGCAGAGCGGACAUCCCAAAGAAGCUAGAAAAAUUGAUGAGCAGGGAACAGAUCAAAUCCUCUCCAUCAGUGGAAGGCAAUUCACGAGGGAAGAAGGCAAGACCAUGGGGUAAUUUUUCUGAGACUUGACAAUGUUUGCCAAGUAAAUAAAUCUGCCAUUUAACACUACGAUAAAAGCUGUCAUAGCCAGGGUAUUAGUGACUACUUGAGGUUUGAGGACAAUGAAGACAGAGUAAGAUAAACAUCCUUACUAUCCAGAAAAAAAAAACGGAACCAGAAGACAGCGCUUCUUACUAUCCACAAAAGAAAUGGAACCGCAAGACAGCCCUUCUUAUUUUUCUCCAUCUUCGAUGGUGAGGAAGAAUAAAAAAAAAGUUGCUUUUAAAGUAUAUUCAUUAAAAUCAAAUUCUAUUAUCAUACACACAAAAUAUUUACGUGAAACCAGCCACAAAAGAAUGACAAGGAACGCUACUGAUUUGUCCAUUCUGGGGGAUAAGAACACAGAUUCUUAUCUCACUCUUGUUAAAAGAAAACUUCAGCUGAAUUAAAUUUAAAGGAGUUUAAUUGAGCAAUGAAUGAUUUGCACAUCGGGCAGCCCCCAGAAUUACAGCAGAUUCAGAGAGACUCCAGUGCAGCCACGUGGUGGAAGAUUUAUAGACAAAAAAAGGGAAGUGAGGUAGAGAAACACCUGGAUUAGUUACAGGUUGGCAUUUGCCUUAUUUACACACAGUUUGAACAUUCAGCAGUGUAUGAGUGAUUGAAGUACGGCUGCUGGGACUGGCCGAGACUCAGCAAUUGUGACAGGUACAUACUCCUAAUUUAGGUUUUCAAUCUUGUCUACCUAUUAAGUUAGGCUCAGUUUGUUCACAGGGACUCCAAUACAGAAGUACGGAGUCCUUCUCAGGCCAUAUUUAGUUCGCUUUAACAAUUCCCCCUUUUUGGUCAUUUUAUCAGUUUUGAGAGAUUGAUCGAAACUUGAGUUAUUGAUGUCACUGUCACCAUUGGUCUUGAAACCCACUAGGAAGCAGAACAGUGAGUUUUGCAAAGGUAGGAACAAGGACUGAGUUGAGGAUACCACCUUAUGCUGGAAAGUCCUGUUUGCAAGAGAAAAACAAAACCUGGUCUAUUCUAGGACCCAUGUGUUUCCUUAAAGUCUUAAUUCGAUUAUGUCACAUUUAGCACGAAUGAUGCCAUUUUGGUUCGGUUUGGUCUGUUGGGACCUAGUGCUCAGUCCAAAACAAUGGCCUCCCAUCAUUUUGUUUAAAAAAUUCCCCCUUUGUCAGGUUGUCACUUAGGCAAGAGUGUGACCAAAACUUAGGAUGUUAGCGCCACUCUCCGUUACUAUCAUUUUGGAUUUCCAGUCUCAGCAUGUCACUCAUCGGUUUCGGUGUCCUCGUGGUCACACAUUUCUUUCAGCUCUUGUCAUUCCAGUUGAAGAGAGACCAUCUGACGUUCUAAAGAUGGCUUCAUGCAAACAUUUAAAACCUUUGAGAGAAUACAGUGCACCAGGGAGACUAUUCUUAUGACUACUGAGAGGGUUAACACCAAGAAUUUGGAGUAUGCUCCUUAGCCAGGGUCCCCAUAAACCAGACCACCUAAACUCAAAUAGACCAUUCUUUGACUUAACUCAGUGGUCUUUUCGUUAAUUCCCUACAACAGACUCUCUAUAACACCUGAUGUUUUCUCCAUAGGCCUUAAGUGCCAGCAUCUGCACAGGUACUUUCCUGUUUAGCCAAUUCUAUUUUUUAGCAAAUGAUGCCCUUCUAGAAGAGGGAAGGCCUCUUGGCAAUGGUCUCUUUAACCCAUGCUGUGGGUUAAGAGGAGUGAACCAAUGUUCUGCUUCUGAAUGAUUAUGAGGCACCAUAUGUACCAUUGAAGUUUCUCACCUAUGAUACACUGGGCCUUCAUCUUUAUCUAUCAAGUUAUAAGAUUAUCCAUGUAUAAAGCUGGCUGCAAAGCCCUUCACAAAUAAAAGUAUACCCCAUAAGUGCACAAAACAGACCCCCUUCUCACUUCUGUUGUUCACAGAGGCGGAAGCAACGGAAAAACAUUCAAAGAUAAGAGUCUCAUGAUAGUAAGAAGUCUUGAUCCAUGAUCUUCAGAAAGAGCUGCUCACAUCAAGGAUGCCAUCUUCUUCUGGGGAGAAACUUCCCUGAUUAGCUUUACCUUAAGGGUUUCAAUGGAUGUAGAGUUCCAAGAGUGACCCUGCUCAGUUGUGAGAUUAUGACCCCAAGGUUCAAGAUCCUGAUGUUUUGUUGCAGUGAUGAUGCCAAGGGCAGCGUUUCUCUGAUGUUCUCAGAAGAUCCCAUCUUUGGGUUCUAGAUUGUGAAGGGGUUGAUUGUCCUCAGUGAACCAUAAAAAGCUCUUUACCUGGUGAAAAUACACUGAUACAUAGUAAUCUACUGUUAUAACAUUAGCCCUCCUGCAUGGGAAAGCUUUAGUACAACCAGAACACAUACAUUGAAAAUGACAACUGAAUGAAACCCCUUUAUAAAUGUUUAAAUGCCUCAUCAGGUAGCCAAAUGUACAUGAAGCUUUGAUUGACUUCCCAGGAGUAUGGGUUUGACAAACUAAACAUUGUUUAUAAACUAUUUUAACAAUCUGUAAGUCACCACACCAACAUAUUUAAUUUGGAUCAUUUUAUCUUUUCCAGGAUGAGUCAUGGAAUGCAUAACUUUUAAUAACAAAAGCUUUAAGGACUCACGAAGGACAAGGCAGCCAUCUUGGUUCUCCAUGAGUCCAUGCUUAACAUCGGACUUAUGUCCUCUUGGGUGCCAGUUGUUUCUCCAAAUUGGGCACAUAGCAUGGAUAACUGAUGGGUUAUCACAGGGGAUGGAAAAAUCUCAACAAAAAAGGAGCGCAGAAGAGCCUGGCUAGGCGGGAGAACACGGUCAGGCCCGCAGGAGACGCCGCGGCACCUGCCAGAAAGAGAGCCGCAGGCCAAGACCAGGAGACGCGAGAGAGGUGGGCAGGGCUGCCCGAGAGACCCAGGCGGCCAUUGCCCGCCCUGCGUCUGCGCCUGCGCCGGAGCCUCCUCCACACUGCGCCAGCGCCGAGUCCGGCCGCCUCCUCAUUGCGCCGGCGCCGGGGCUUCCUCCACACCGCGCCUGCGCCGAUGACAACCCGCCUCUACAGGACGCCUGCGCAACGCCAUAGUCACCUCAUCAGCUCCGUGCACUUACGAGUCUCUCUCUGAUCGACCACGUGUUCCUGUCGGCUCACAGAGGCCGCCUCAGGGUCCUCCCCCAUUGUCUUCCUCGCACCCUCCACUGUUCCCGGCCCUUCACUCUGCGCUUGCGCAGGAGUCGCUCGCUCCUCUCUGCGCCUGCGCAGAGGCCACCUCCUCCCCGCCCGUCCGCUCCCUUGGCGUCGUCUUGGGCCGCGCCCCGACCCCUUCUGUUUACGCAUGCGCAGGAGCCGCCCUGCGCGGGUGGGGGGCUGAGCCCCUGUGGCUUCAGGUUUAAAGGCGCGAGCGCCACCCACGCAGGCACAAGGGCUCCUAGUCGUUUUAUUUUUAGCGUAAGGUUUUCCUCUUUAACAAGGAAGUAAAAAAAAAAGUUGUGCAAUAAAUAUUAAUCGUCCUUAUAUGUACUCGGGAACGUUCGUCCUUUAGGUUUUCUCCUGGCGCAUGGGCGCCGCCAAUCAUUUCGGGGCUUAUUUUGGUUCUAAAGCCCGGGGCAGCCAGGCCUCCCUGCCUGGCCUCGGCGGGGACGCGGGACCUGGGGCCCCGGACCGGGCCUAACCGCCCUGGCCGGUCCCCACUGAUGGUGGCGGUCGGUCCUGAUCGUCCUGAUGGCAGCGACCAGGCUGGACUCGGGCUGUGCAGGGGCGAGGGGAGCAGGGCGGGGUGACGCCCGGAGAGCGGCCUGGAGAGCGCGUGCUUCAGAAGGCGUGGGCACCCUGUCCCCUUUGCAGAUGGGGAUGCAGGCCCUGGUGGCGGUGGAGGGGAGAUGGGGGCAGGGACGUUGCCGGGCAGAGGAAGCUGGCCAUUCCUGGGGGAUUCCUGGGAGCCAUGUGGGAGAGGCGUGAGGAAGUGAGACCUUCACCCCGAGACAGGUCCUGACACACCCUCUGGUGCCUCUACUCAAGUGAGAGCUUUGGAAUAAACAGAUUUCCAUAAAGAAAAGCUGCUUUAGAGUGCUACACUGUAAGAGGGGCCGGGCAAACAAGAAGGGACGGAGGAAAGACCACCAAGUGAGAGGCACAGGUGUCAGGACACACAGAGAGCCCGAAAACGAGGCAGAGGUGAGCGGGGACCAGCAGCACAGCGGCACUGACGCGCCAGGGACUUGGGCUCUGCUGGCCUCCUCCCUCGCGGCCAGCAGUGGCAGUGGUGGGAGUAGGCCUGGCUUGUCUGUGGUUGCCUUUGUUGCUUUAAUUGAAAGUACUCAAGGCUAUUUCUUGUCGCGUCAUUUCUGACAGUGUCCGGUGGUCCCUACCCUGUAAUGCCAGGAGGUUCCAGCCCCACCCUUCCCUCCCCACUCCCUCUUUCAUCUCCCGGAUCCUAUUAGAGGAUUGCUUUUAUAGCUGAUGAGCUGAUGAAGUAUGCAUUUAGCCCUUUAACCGUAACUGAAUUUCCCCUGGUGCACAUCUGUAUGAAGGGUGUGCACCAGGGCUGAGCCGUCUGCUGGGCGAAUAUGUCCCUCCCUGAGGCCCAGGACCACAACCCCUGAGUCACUCAAAGGAAUCGUUCCCAGCCUUAAGAAGUUUGGCUGCUGUAACUGACUGGGAAGCUUAAAAUAACAGACAAUCAUCUCUCACAUUUAUGGGGACUGGGAAGUCCAAGACCAAGUUGCCAUCUGGGGAGGGCCUGUUCCUCACAGCGCCUUCCAGCUCAGGCCUCGUUUAUAAGGGCACUCAAGCCUUCCACGACAACGGGUCCUCAUGACUUACUCACCUCGGAAAGCCCCACCCCCAAGACCAUCACAUUGUGGGUGAUGGCAGAGCAUAAGGUGCCUUCCCCACAUGCUCGGGUUGGCCCAGCGUCUCACGCUAGCAGCUACGUGGAAUAGUUAUUUUUUCUGGAGAACUCUGGGACCCCUCUGAUGUCUUGGAGCACCCACACAGGCCGUUCACUGUGCACGCUGUGAGGCUGUCGUCUUGGAGCACCCACACAGGCCGUUCACUGUGCACGUGGUGAGGCUGUCCUCUGGGGAGUUCUGCUGUUGUAUGGGUUCUGUCUGUGUCAAUGUCCCAGCGGGAACGCAGGGCACACUAGCGUCAUCCCCAGAGGGCUUGGUAAGGGGACUGUUUGCAGAGACAUAGGCAGAGGGCUGGAAAACUACCAAAAAAGUGCAGUGUUCUGGACCUAAUAAUAGCAGAGCUAUUCUCACCCUGGUCUGAAGGCAGGAGGGGAGGAGCAGUUAAUGGAUUCUGGAAGUCAGGUUGCACAGAGUCACCUUGAAAGAUGCCAUGACCUUCACCGAGGGCCAGACAGAGACUAAGAUGACCCCAUAGGAGAAUAAGACCUAGACCUCAUCCUCCUGCCUCCUGCCAGUCCCUGCCAGGGGUCGCCAAUGGCAAAACAGGACUGGAAGCCAGAGGCCAUGGAAGCCCAUGGAUGAAGUCCACAGGCCAGCCUCCCCGAGAGCAGCCUGGACGGUCCGCAGGAGACGUCUCCUGUCUUAGGCGUCCCACGCCGCGUGCUCCUGUUCAGCCCUGCCGAGGUGGAAGCUUGGAGUGGCUCACGGUGGAUGCAUUGACGCUGCAGACGCCAGCAAGUGCUACAAACCAGAGCUGGCCUUUAACUCAGACUGAUGGAGAAGGUGUUAAUAAUGCAGAUUAGACUUAAAAGUGUUGAAGCCAUUGCACUGUGAACAGCAAAAAAAUUGAAGAACUCUUCUGGCAUUUAAAAACAAUUACUCAGUUCAGCAGAGAAGUCACUGACAAACGAGAUCACACUGACUGCUUUGUCGUUUUGGUUUUGUCUUACUCAUUAAUGCAAAUAAGAACAUUCACUAGCAUCUGUGUCGGGCCUACCCUCCCUGGUCAAAUACAGCUACAGUCUCCCUGCAGAAACGAGUUUUCCAGAAAUGAGCCGAUGUUUUCUGCGAGAAUCAAUUGGUCAUAUACAAUUUACAAAAAUGAGUACUGUAUACUAUAUUUGUAAACUGUACACUGCAGAUGCUUUAUUUCACUGAAAUUUAUAAUACACUUAUCCAUGUAUAUGCAUGCAUGCAUUUUUGUUCCUGAGAUCCAGCUGUGAAAUGUUUACCAGCACAUAAAUUACCAGCACAUGCUCUUUUUUGUUAACCUACUAGGUAAAAUCUUCAUUUAUUACAUCAAAUUCUUGUAGUUUUUGUAUUGCAAUUAUGCAGAUAUUGAUUAUCGCAGUAUUACUGCAAUUAUACAGAUACCACAAUUUCAGAUAUUGAUCAGCGUGUUCAGUUGGUUUCUAAGGAGGUUUACUUACCUCAUGGUACACCUAGUUUGCAUAGUUUGAUUAUAUUUAACUCUUAUGCUAAUUGGGGGAAGUCAUUGAUUUAUUGGACAGAUGCACCUGUGGUCUUCCCUGAGCACAUCCUGGCCAAGGAUGCUGCCCCCAGGAGAUUUGAGAAGUCCUGUAAGGAUCAUAUCAGUAUUUUCAAAUACUUAUAGAAAAGCCAGAGGGAUUGACCCAGAAUUACCAAUAUAAGCUUGACCCUGAGAUAACAAUGCCAUUUUAUGUUUGCAUGCAUAAAACCAAUGCAAGAGGCUGAUGACUCCAGAUCCCUUAUAUAAGCCAAUAAAAAGUAGUUUCAUUUUUUAUUUCAUUUAAAAAAGUGUACCAUUAACCUAAAGCCUGCUUGUAAAACCAGUUUGUUUCUGAAGCAUUAGCUCAAAGCUCACUUGCAUUUGGUGAGAAGUCCCUCACGUGUGGCUGCCCUGGCUGGGAGCUCUGAGCUCUGGGAGCCAUUGGAACUGCUAAUCCCACCAGUGCCGUCUGAUUCCCUCUGCUCUAAUGGAGGUCUUUUGCCGGGUAUCCAGUGGCAUUUUCUGGGCUUGGGAGUCAGUAAUUCCCAGUGAUCAAGUGUCUCUGCUCUGAAAAUGCCUUUCUUUGUGAUAUGAAGCUGUCAGUGAUGGAGACUGACCUUUUCAUAAGUCAGUGAAUUUAGUUUCUUUCUCCUCAGCAGUGUCUGGGGGCUGGUCCUCAGCC